AUACAACAACAACAAACCCUGGUUCACACCUCAACUUAGGAUGCUACGUCAGGCUAAGGAGGAAGCCUACAGGAGUGGGGAUAGGGACCUGUUCAGGCAAGCCAAGUACACACUAUCCAGGGAGAUCAAAGUAGCCAAGAGGUGCUACACUGAGAAGCUAAAACAAAGCUUCUCAAACAAAGAUCCCUCUGCAGUGUGGAAAAGCCUGCAUGAAGUUACCAACUAUAGGAAACCCUCCCCCCACCCUACUGGUAACAAAAGACUAGCUAGAGACCUGAACAGCUUCUACUGCAGGUUUUCACACCCACCCCCCAGCUCAUUAGCAUCAGCCCAUCACCUGGACUCUGCCCUUCCUGCUCCCCCUACUUCCCCCCCUACCUCUCCCUCUGUCCCCCCACCUGCCCUGAAGAUCAAUGAAAGAGAUGUGUGCCAGCUUUUCAAAAAACAAAAGAUCAAAAAGGCUCCAGGACCAGACGGAGUAUCUCCCUCCUGCCUGAAAGCCUGUGCUGAGCAGCUGGCCCCCAUCUUCACACGGAUCUUCAACACAUCACUGGAGCUGUGUGAAGUACCUUCCUGCUUCAAAAGUUCCAGCAUCAUCCCAGUCCCCAAGAAACCUGCCAUCACAGGACUUAAUGACUAUCGACCCAUUGCUCUGACGUCUGUAGUCAUGAAGUCCUUUGAGAGGCUGGUUCUGAGCCACCUGAAAAAGAUCACAGGACCCCUGCUGGACCCCCUGCAGUUUGCCUAUCGGGCAAACAGGUCUGUCGAGGAUGCAGUCAACAUUGGUCUGAACUACAUCCUGCACCACCUCGACUCCCCAGGGACCUACGCUAGGAUCCUGUUUGUGGAUUUCAGCUCUGCGUUCAACACCAUCAUCCCGGACAUCCUUCACCAGAAACUCACCCAGCUCACAGUGCCGGCCUCCACCUGUCAGUGGAUCACCAACUUCCUGACUGACAGGAAGCAGCAAGUAAGGCUGGGAAGCAUCACAUCUGGCACCCGGUCACUCAGCACUGGCGCCCCCCAGGGGUGUGUUCUCUCCCCACUGCUAUUCUCCCUCUACACCAAUGACUGCACCUCAGGGGACCCCUCUGUGAAAC
rnacentral:lncRNA from 1 species